AUUGAACGCUGGCGGCAGGCCUAACACAUGCAAGUCGAGCGAGCGGCGGACGGGUGAGUAAUGUAUGGGGAUCUGCCUGAUGGAGGGGGAUAACUACUGGAAACGGUAGCUAAUACCGCAUACCAUCAGAUGAAACCAUACGGGAUUAGCUAGUAGGUGAGGUAACGGCUUACCUAGGCGACGAUCCCUAGCUGGUCUGAGAGGAUGAGCAGCCAAACUGGGACGGGGAAACGGCCAAGACUCCUACGGUAGGCAGCAGGGGGGAAUAUUGCACAAUGGGCGAAAGCCGGAUGCAGCCAUGCCGCGGGUAUGAAGAAGGCCUUCGGGUUGUAAAGUACUUUCAGUCGGGAGGCGUUACCGACAGAAGAAGCACCGGCUAACUCCGUGCCAGCAGCCGCGGUAAUAC
rnacentral:rRNA from 1 species